UACGAAGGUUGCAAGCGUUGUUCGGAAUCACUGGGCUUAAAGCGUAUGUAGGCGGAUGAGUAAGCGUUUUGUGAAAUCCCUCGGCUUAACCGGGGAAUUGCUUGGCGAACUGCUCAUCUUGAGGCAAGCAGGGGUGCAUGGAACUCUUGGUGGAGCGGUGGAAUGCGUAGAUAUCAAGAGGAACGCCAGCGGCGAAAGCGGUGCACUGGGCUUGUCCUGACGCUCAGAUACGAAAGCGUGGGGAGCAAACGGG
rnacentral:rRNA from 1 species